CAUCAAGAAAUGAUAGUUUACCUGCACAGGACAAGAGAUUCAUUUUGACGGUGAUCAAGGUAGAUCCUUCUGUGUUGGCAUGAUGGAUUUGAAAGCUAUAUGAUAACUGGGCAUCAGAAGUUAGCAUAAAUUGAAACAUGAACAACGAUAACUUAAACAGCUGCUGUUUCUGGAGGAGGCGAUCAUGCUCUGCGCUCACAGGGCACCGUGAGAAAUGCGGACAGAAAGUGAAGAGGAGAGGAUUACAUCUGCUGCCUAGAAACCUUGAAAGAGGCACUGAAAACACUGUAGCUAUAAGCUAGGAUUUAACACCUGCCUCCAAGAGCUCUCUGUUUUAUCUAUAAUUGGAAUAUUUGUCCUUGAACAGCUCAGCUAUGUCCCUGAGGAGGAAGAGCACUGAGAAUCGCUGAGGGCAUUCUAAUAGCCACUGGGCUCCAGAAAACAGGAAAAAAAUUGUGUCUUAGGCUUUAGUGGUCCUUCUGACAUUAAAGUAAUUGUCUAGGUGUUAGAAAGAUAGACAAGUUUUAGGCACAGAAAAGGGUCCAGAUACAAGAUGAAUAUGUAUUUGUGCAUGCAGACAGCUGAGAAUUUAAGAGAGCCAUCAAAGUCCAGAGGCACUGCUCCUGGCUCAGGAGGCCGUGGAUGAAAGAUGUUUCCCUCUCAGGGAUAGGAGGAACAGUGUGUCAGGUAGGACCUCUGUGUAGUUAGCAGGUGGGUUCAGUUGAAAGGAAGCAGUGGAUCUUGAGUCUUUUCUAAACCACGGGGAGAUGGAUUGAGUCCCUCAAAGACCAAGUCAGCUGGAGGUGGCUAUCUGUUGUGAGGUGGAGGGAAAACAAUGCAGGAGCAGAAGACUUGAAUCUCACCCUUCAGAAUCUCUCUGCUUGAACAAAUUAACUUCCUCAGUCCCUCAGGCUUUUCUCUGGAAAAGCUUUUCCCUCACAUUUUCCCUGGAAGGCAACUCCUGCCUCAAAUGCCUCCACAACAAAGGCCUGAACCUGCAACAUCAACUGCUGGCCACCCCUUGAGUGAAAAGAAAACAUCAGCGGAGUCCCCCAGUGCAGACCUCAGUGGAUCUCCUCAGGAGGUGUGCAUGUGCCUUAGCAAAUACCCAUGUACAGACAUGAUGAGAAACUUGCCAUAGUUGUUUACCCAAGAUCUGGGUGUUCUGGGGACCUGAGUACAAAUUGAAGCCCUCUCUGCUUCACACAGGAUCCCUGUCAGUGGUGAGAAGCCAGCUGAGCCCAUAGCCCCGUCGCUGCCUCAGCCGCAUGCCAGUGGGCCUGCCUGGCCUUGCAGCUGUUUUAUCAUUUUAAUUAAGCUCUGCAAACACGGAGAUGUUAGGGCAGGAUUCAUGCCUCUGGUAUUUGCUCUUGGCACUGGAGAGGACAGGCUUUCUGGAUGUCAGGAAGGGGCACCAUUGUGCUGGCAGGGACCAGGCACACACCAGCAUCCCUAGGCCUGACUUCUGCUGGCAGAGGAACAAGUGAAAAAUUGAAUCUUGUGAACCAGCACAGCACUAUUCGAAGCUGUUUAUUGUUCCCCCUCCAAAGGGACGUGGGGGUUGAACAUAGGGCUCCUUUGCUCUAGCCUAGUGGGUUUCUCCUCCAGCCUCCAUGGUCUGGUGAGGCUCUGUCCAACGGGGAAACAGCAGGCCCAGGCACAGCCUGCCUCUACAGCCCCUUCCAUGGGGGUCAUGUCUGUCCCCUCAGCCUGCCCAUGCAGUCUGGAGUGCUUCCUGCUGGCACCAGCCAUGGGGUCAAGUGGAAGGAGCAAUCAUCUGGAGGCCUGACAUGUCCCUGAGGAGGCCUUGGGGAAACACACUCCAGAGCAGCCCUUCCUUCAGAGGAUUUCUUAGUGGCUGUGUCAUGCAAGCUGUGGUGAUGGGCUAACGUUGCUUCCAUCCCGGGACAACAUGGAGUCAGACUGCUUGCACCAGUCACCACUUCAGCACUGACUGGGAAGGAAUUGUGCUGUGUCACCCCUCAUAGAAUCAUAGAAUCAUUAAGGUUGGAAAAAACCACCAAGAUCAUCUAGUCCAACCAUCAACCCAUUAAAUUCCACUGGUGAUAAAUUUCUGUAUUUCAUAUAGAGUUGUACAUCAUAUAAACACUCACCACUUGGUUGUGUCAUCACAAAUAACACACCAAACUCUCACCAUCCCGACGCAUGAGAAAUUUUGGAGGAGCAUCUUUGGCUGAAGUUAGCAGAGCUGCUCCAACUCUGUGCCAUUGCAGCUGAGACUGCAGUUUAGAUCAGCUUGUUUCUGGGCAGCCUCAGUGCACCUCAGUACCAUGAGAAGAUGACGCACGGCAAGUGUACCUUCCUUCAUGUGUCAUCUUCGUCCUUGCACAGCUCUGUUUAGCCUCCCGGGGUUUUCUAGAUAUUUUUGAUUGAUUUUUAUUGCUGAUGAAGGAUUUACAUUGUACUUACUGUCAUGAUUUGGCUUUUAAUUGUUUUCUUUUCUAGGAAAUGACUUCAAGCUUUUCGUUGUUGUUGUUUAAAAAGUUAGAACAGUUUAUUUCCCAUUGGAUUUCCUAACUUCCUCAAAAGAAAUGUCAUUGAUAGGACAUUAGUUUCUGCCUCCAAAAUUUUAAUGGCUUGUACAAACUUGUCUAUAUGUUUCAGCUGUUUUACACCAGAAUCAGAAGUGUAUUUAAAGAAA
ensembl:lncRNA